GCCCAAGAGAUCGGGAUAACACCUGGAAAACAGAUGCUAAUACCGGAUAACAACAGAUGAUGCCUAUCAACUGUUUAAAAGAUGGUUCUGCUAUCACUCUUGGAUGGACCUGCGGUGCAUUAGCUAGUUGGUAGGGUAACGGCCUACCAAGGCGAUGAUGCAUAGCCGAGUUGAGAGACUGAUCGGCCACAUUGGGACUGAGACACGGCCCAAACUCCUACGGGAGGCAGCAGGC
rnacentral:rRNA from 1 species